rnacentral:rRNA from 1 species
GACGAACCGUGCGAACGUUGUUCGGAAUCACUGGGCUUAAAGGGCGCGUAGGCGGUCGAUCAAGUCUGGGGUGAAAUCUUUCGGCUUAACCGGAAAAGAGCCUGGGAUACUGAUCGGCUGGAGGGGGGUAGGGGCAGCUGGAACUUCCGGUGGAGCGGUGAAAUGCGUUGAUAUCGGAAGGAACGCCGGUGGCGAAAGCGAGCUGCUGGACCCUUACUGACGCUGGAGGCGCGG